CUCCCCUUUGGCGAGCUUUCCCCUCCCCCCUGCAGCCCCGCGCAGCGCCCUCCUCCAGCGCUCCGUGAGGAGACGGGGCCGGGAGGGGGAGAGACCGGCGCCGGCAGGGAGAGCCGGGAGAGACCGGGAGGGAAGAAAGGACGGGGGAGAGGAGGAUUGCUGCCAGGCGCGGUUCUGCGGAGGAAGAGCGGGUGCCGCCUGUUAUAAAGAGGGAGGAGGCGGAGGGGGAAGGAAGAGCGUGCGGAGCGGAGCCUCCUCCAGAGACAGCCAGACACAGAGGGAGGAGAGAGAGAGAGAGGCUGCCUGGCUGGCUCCCCCUUCCUCCCUCCCUCCUUUUCAUGGACUCUCUUGUUGGGCUGCCGCUGCUUUUCUUCCCUCCUUAUUCUGUCUCUCUAAUACCCAAAAUGAUUCAGCUCCAUGGCUGCCACUGACGGGGAUGUCCCUGCCCGGCUCAGCCUGCUGCUGCCGCCCUGCUGUGCGCCAGUCCUCCUGACUCAGCCGCAGACAUUAGUGCUAGGAAGAUGGCGCACCCGGCAAUGUUUCCUAGAAGGGGCAGCAGCAGUAGCAGCGGCAGCAGCUGCGUUACUGCUCCCACUGCACCAGGUACCGGCGUUGGGAGCGCUGCCCUCUCUGCCGAGGAUUAUCAGCCGCCUUUGCUGGUCCAGCCGCCACCUCCGUCUCCUGCAGCAUCUUCAUCAGUGGGUCCACAGCCGACACCCCCUCCUCCACAAAGCCUGAACCUCCUCUCACAGUCUCAGCUCCAGCCACAGCCUCUUGCACAGACUGGAGCUCAAAUGAAAAAGAAAAGUGGCUUCCAAAUUACCAGUGUGACCCCUGCUCAAAUAUCAGCUAGCAUGAGCUCUAACAACAGCAUAGCUGAGGAUACAGAAAGCUACGAUGACCUGGAUGAGUCCCACACGGAAGACCUGUCGUCUUCAGAAAUCUUGGAUGUUUCUUUAUCCAGGGCCACUGACUUGGGAGAACCUGAGAGGAGCUCCUCUGAAGAGACUCUAAAUAACUUCCAAGAGGCAGAGACUCCUGGGGCUGUUUCUCCAAACCAGCCUCAUCUUCCCCAGCAGCAUGCUCCUCUGCCUCAUCACCCACAGCAGAGUGUUGUGAUCAAUGGAAGUGUUCACCCCCAUCACGUUCAUCACCACCACCACCUUCACCACCACCAUCAUGGACACCAUCAUCCAUCGCAUCCUGGGAUGGGCAGUGCCCCAGUUUCUGGAGGACCACCGCCCAGUCCAUCAUUCAGAAAACUAUCAACAACUGGAAGCUCUGACAAUGUUAUAUCAACUGCACCAGUUUCUGCUGCAUCAUCCACUGGUUCCCCGGCAUCUGUUGUGUCUAAUAUCCGCACUACAAGUACUCCUGGUAAUUUAGGUGUAAGUCCUGCUGCUGGAACGAGUACCUUAAAUACUAUGGGUGGCGGUAGUUCUAGUGUGGCAAGCGGCAUGCUUGGUACUAUAAAUUUAAGUAACAUCACGAGUACUGGUAAUGUAAAUGCUUUGUCUGGAACUAGCAGCAAUGUUAAUGUGAAUAUCUUGAGUGGUGUUGGCAAUGGUACGAGUGCUUCCUCUAGUGUCAUUAACAAUGUUACUAAUCCAACUGCAGGAAUGGCAGUGGGAUCAAGCCAGCAGCAGCCUGCAUCUGGCACGUCAAGGUUUAGGGUUGUAAAACUAGACUCUAGUUCUGAACCUUUCAAAAAAGGUAGAUGGACAUGCACUGAAUUCUAUGAUAAAGAAAACACUGUUGCAGUUUCAGAAGGAGUAGCAGUAAACAAAGCAGUAGAGACGAUAAAACAAAACCCGCUUGAAGUGACUUCUGAAAGGGAGAGCACCAGUGGGAGUUCUGUUAGCAGCAAUGUAAGCACACUGAGUCACUAUACAGAAAGUGUGGGAAGUGGAGAAAUAGGAGCACCUACUGUGGUACAGCAGCAAGCGUUUCAAGGUGUGGGUCCGCAGCAGAUGGAUUUUAGCAGCGCUGCUCCUCCGGCAAUUCCAGCAUCUAGUAUACCACAGAGUGUUUCUCAAUCACAGCUUGCACAAGUCCAGCUGCAUUCUCAAGAAGUAAACUAUCCACAGCAGAAGUCAGGGGUCCAACCUCCUGCACAGGCCAGUCUAACCACUGUUACUGGGGUUCAGCCAGCCCCAGUUAAUAUUCUAGGUGUAUCCCCGUCUCUGGGCCACCAGCAACCUGCCAUUCAAAGUAUGGCUCAACAGCAACUACCAUAUUCUCAGCCGGCGCAGCCUGUGCAGACGUUGCCACUCGUACAGCAGCAGCAGUUGCAGUACGGACAACAGCAGCAGCAACAGACAGUUCCUACACAGAUGGCCGCAGGUCACGUUAAGCCGGUGAACCAAAACUCGGUUACGGGGGCUAUACCAGACUACAUUCAACAUCAGCAGAUCCUUCAGACUCCAGCCCCUGCCAUGCAGCCCAGUUCUACAGGAGUAGGAGCAGGGCAACCAGUUCCUGUUGCCCAGGCACAGAGCAUGCAGCCUUCAGUACAAGCACAUCCAGCUGCUGCCCCAGCUCAGCCUGUUGCACAUGCUCCAGCAGCGAUACCAGGUGUAGGUACCAGUGGUCAAAUGCUGAAUGUUGGGCAGCAGGCAAGUGUAGCUGCUGUGGUGCAACCACCAUCUGCUGCAAACCAAAUUCCACCUCCAGUCAUGCCGUCAACGGCUGCUCCUCCAUCUUCACAAGUAGUGCAGCCUGUGCAGACAGGAAUAAUGCAGCAGGGGUUACAGGCUAGUGCUUCGGGCCUUCCUCAGCAGAUGGUCAUUGCUCAGCAAAACACCUUGUUACCUGUACAGCCGCAGGCACAAGGAGUGGAAUCUGUAGUCCAAGGGAUGACUGGCCAGCAGCUGCCUGCUGUUAGCCCUAUACCUUCUGCUAGCACUGUUCCUGCACCAAGUCAAGCUGGUUCAGCUGUGCCUCCUGGCAUACCUUCUGCUUCUAUAGGUUUGGGACAGCCACAGAAUAUAGCACAAGCUUCAGCAGUGCAGAAUGGGAAUUUGGCUCAAAGUGUUAGUCAGCCUCCCUUGAUAUCAACAAGUAUAGGUAUGCCAGUGGCGCAGAGUGUGCCGCAGCAGAUACCGCUAAGCUCUACCCAGUUCCCUGCACAAUCACUAGCUCAGUCAGUUGUAAGCCAAAUUGAAGACGGCAGACGCCCUACAGAACCUUCCUUAGUGGGUUUACCUCAAGCUGCCAGUGGCGAGAGUGGUGUUGGAGCAUCAGCUGUUUCAGAUGGCGGUAGCAGCAAUGCGCCGCCUUCUGCUUCCCUCUUUCCGCUGAAGGUGCUGCCGUUGACAACACCCCUCGUAGAUGGUGAGGAUGAGAGAUACAGAAUGACAGUCAAACACUGCACACUGGUAUGCCUGUGAAGAGGCACUGCCAAAAUUAAUUGUCUAUUGCAAAAGCUGGGAGUUCUGGCUGAUCAAAGCAGUUCAACUGGAUGCUGGUGCAUAGAUCCUGCAGUGGGUUUGCAGCCUGCACGUAUUUCUAGAGAGGAGAGUAUAAACAUCAUCCUGGAGACAUCUGUUGGCCAAUCUUUCUGCCUCCCUAUCCUGGAAGUAUGGAGUCCCCGCCUCAGCCUACGGCUUCAUUCUUUUUCCAGCUGCCCACAAAAGUAAAGAACCAGUGUGAGUUUGAAGAAAGAAUCCGCUCAGAGGACUGAGUCUCAAGCAAAAGCUCCAGGUUGCAGGCUCAGAAAGAAACUUCCUUUGGGGAAGGAUCUGCUUCCAGGAUUUGCUCGUCUCUUUUUCCUUGGGCAAACAGAAUUCUUGAAGCAAACAACAGGGUUGCAGGACACCUUCUAACCUUUAUACUGCAUCACAAGCCUUCAGCAGAAGAUCUUGAGAGCCAUUUAUGUUGCUGGAAGAUGACUGGGUUUGGAUCUUGGCCUUCCUUAAGCAGGAUCUCCUGACAAAAAUGGGAUUGGGAAAGAAAUGACUCCUUUUUCCAUCACAGAGAGCCACCCUAGAAAUGGAGGCCUAGGCAGAAAAUAACUUCUAAUGCAUCAUUCUUUAGGAAACUUGUUUGGUCUCCCACAGUUCUUUUGUUACAAUGUCAUAAAGAUGUCUUCUAUGAAACCUAAACCUGGCAUCUUCCUAUCUGAAGAUCAAGUCAAUAAAUCCAAGUUUAAGAGUUUACAGGUCUAAUAAUGUGAUCAGAUCUUGCUGUCCCCUGCAUAGAUGCCAUGUGAAUCUGUGAAACAGGGUUCUCCUGUAGUUGACUGUUAUAUUUAUAAUGCCUUUUCUACUUAUAGUCCAUUUAAACGAUUAGAAAUAAUAUUAAUAAAGCUUCUCGUGAAAAUGGUAUUUAAUUAGGCUUCUACUUCUCCAGGUUUACUUAAAAAUAAAUUUGAGCGAAAAAUAUCACAAUGGCAAUAUGGGAAGUACUUGCAUCUUUUGAGGUUUCCUGUGGUUUUGUGUCAAGAAAAGGUAUGUUAGCAGUGUUGAGAGCACUGUGAAAGUGGAAAACUUGAAUUUUUUUCUUUUUUUGAUCUUUAAGAGUGAAAAGUUAUUUGUUAGAAAGCAGAAAGCUUUUAAUUGUUUUUCCCCUAAGGGAUUCUAUAGUCAAACUUAAUUAAAAGUCUUGAGAUCUCAAAUGAAAACCCUAUGUUUGGCAGUAGUGAACAGCGCACACACACACCCGUGUACUUUUGUUCUUUUUGCUAUAAGAAAUUAGUUUUGAAGAAUAGGACUUACUUUUAAUGUUCAGAUUAGGAAAGGGGAAGGCUUUGUUCUGAAGCCGAGUGUGAGAAGGGGUGGCAGGAGGGUGAACCGGACCCUCUGGCAGUAGGUAAAGAGCACUUUUUAUAUUCCUGUUUUCUGCUUCUGGCAGUUGGAGUAAACUAGUCAGACGCUUGUGCUUGAAUCCAAUUAAUUUCUUAAAUCACUUACAACAAAACAUUGUUUUUUAACUAAUGCCUAGAUCUGUCAUUAAAUUCACCAGCAUAUUUAAACUGUUGAACAGUCUUAAUGUAGCCCUGAGGCUACUGCUUCAUGGCAUUUGUGACUUCUUACUAUGCUGGAAUGCAUUGCAGUCUUAGUACAUUCUAAAAAUAAUUGUUCAGAUGGUGCUGUUUAAGUACAUACUUAUGUAGUGAGCCAUUUUCACUGGACUUUCUGAAAUUUGGCACUCUGGAUGGCUUUUUAAUAUCCUUUUUUUCUGUGAAUAUCAAACUUCUGUCUUGCUGCUUCUGUGGUUAUUGAGUAAAAUGCUAAAUUUAUAACCUGGUAUUUUUGGAAAACUAAUUGUUGGAUGCAUGUGUUAAACUAUGCAACCACAGUAACACUUGUGAACUUUGGAGUUUAAAGAGAAAUCGGGUUAACUCUAAUGUAUCAAAUUCAGUACCUUUUUUUAAUAUGUGGAAAUAUGUACGUGGUGACGGUAAAAUCGAGUAGUUCUUCUAGGUAUAGACAUGAACUGUGUGCUGAACAGGAGUAAUCUAGAAGUUACAAGCUGAAGAUUUGUGAGUCUCGGAAAUAAAUACUAACAUCUGUGGCUAGAGGUCUGUGCCAGCAGUUAUUUUAGUUGAAAAUACCUGGUUUUCUAACUUCUAGUCUAUUUAAAGUUUAAUUUUCUGUGCCUUCCUUAAUAUGCAUACUUGCCUCAGCCACAGUUUUUGGUCAUUUUAUUCUGUAGUAUAAGGUAAAUAUAAGACCAUCAAAUACUUAUGAACACGAAAUACUUAAAGUAAAAUAACAGGGGCACUGAGAACUGUUUCUAAUGUUGUCUCAGUUGCUGUUGCAAUUAGGGAAAAAAAAAGAAAACCCAAACAAAAAAAAAACAACCGGUUGCUAUUCUACAGCCAGUGUUUUGAUACUUCUCAUCUAUCAGCAUUGUGUUAGUGUAUUGCUAUCAUGCUCUGAGUUUUGCAGCUGGAAUCCUUGGUUCUCAAUACAUCUUUAGAGCAAUAACUUCUGCGUUUGUGUUAUUAAAUAAUAAAGAUGUCUAAAACCA